rnacentral:lncRNA from 1 species
GACAUGAGGCAGACGGUUGCCGUGGGCGUUAUCAAGGCCGUGGAGAAGAAGGAUCCGACCGGCGCCAAGGUGACCAAGGCUGCGGCCAAGAAGAAAUGAGAUGGUGUCAGGUUCUUUACUGCAUCUAUGGUGGUGGUGGCGGUGGCGGUAUUUGGUGGUGGUGAUAGUUGUUCUAGUCGUUUUGAGAACUUGUUAAGCUUCGGUUAUUUGUGUCGAGCAGUGUUGGAACUGCUUAUUGCUCUGGUCAUUGUAUCGUUCGGUUGUGUUGGUGGAACUAUGUCAGUUGAUGUUGCUACUAAAUAUAGUCGUCAUGUUUGGAGUCGUUUUAUAUCAGUUGAUCAUGUUUCUUGUCAUGCAAAGUUGAAUUUUUGUUUUGCUUCCUUAACUAUUCCUAUUCCUGUGCUUCUUUUGCAGCCAGAAUAUUUCUUCUUCAGUUGUCCACUUUGCAGCUCCGAGUAUGCUCUGAGAUUAGGUGUUUGUUUUAGGAUUGUUUUACAAACAGAUGCCUUCGGUUUUUCUUUUUGCGGUAGUAUUUUUUUAUUCAUCAAAUGAUGACGAUAUCGGUUACAAUCAGAGAAGAGAUAAAAUCGGAGUCAGAUUAGGAUGACCGCUACACUAAAAAACGUUAGUAUUGGACGGAGGGAGUUAAAAUAGUUCCCGCGCUGACUUUUCGCGGAGGUAAAUUUGCCUAAGUCCCAGAUCUGUGUAAUUUUCAUGCCAUAUUCGACCUGUUGUAUCUCCGCAUCCGUAACCCCGUUUUGUGCGUGUAAUAUGUCAAAUUGUUCGUCUUGAAGAGUACAUCAUUUCAUUUCAUUGCAUCAUUUCAUUUCAUUGCAUCAUGUUCAUUUGAGGUCAUCUUGAUGCCCGAAUCAUCGUUGCAAGAGUGCUUCAUAAUGUUAUCUGCUGUCUGUUAACAGAACUAGCUCUUUUGUCAUUUUUGCCAUGUUUGAUGUGUGCAUCCUAUAAGGUUGAUGUCUACAUGUGUUUUGAACUAUGCCAUGUCUUCUUUACAAAGGUGCUUAUCAUGUAUUUUUGUGAUCAAUGUGUUGACUAGCACAAGCAUGCAAACUAGACUUCAUGAUAUUGCUGAUUUUAGUCCCUGUUCUGCUGUUAUUUUGAUUCCAUGUAAACAUGAUGUUACAGAGAAAUCCAUGCAUAUUUUGAGAUACUUCAGUAAGGGUGUUUUGAACAUAUGGUUGUUCUCUAUCCAUUCAUGUCCCUGGUUGUAAUUAUGGAGUGGUCUAGCAUGUCAUUUUCGUGCUCUAUUUUUGCUUCAAAAUGUUUCCUGGCAGAUUGUUUACAUGUUAUUCAAUUUUGCCAAAAUUGUUUUAGUUGAUCCUUGCAUGCUAUGGACUUGGUCUUGCC